rnacentral:rRNA from 1 species
AGCAGCCGCGGUAAUUCCAGCUCCAAUAGCGUAUAUUAAAGUUGUUGCAGUUAAAAAGCUCGUAGUUGAAUUUCGGGAUCAAUUUAUUGGUCGUGCUAUUGUACGUACUGGUAUUAUUGAUUCCUACCUUCUGACGAACCAUGAUGUCAUUAAUUUGGUGUCAUGGGGAAUCAGGACUGUUACUUUGAAAAAAUUAGAGUGUUUAAAGCAGGCUCACGCUUGAAUACAUUAGCAUGGAAUAACGAAAUAGGACGUUUGAUUCUAUUUUGUUGGUUUCUAGGAUCGACGUAACGAUUAAUAGGGAUAGUUGGGGGCAUUAGUAUUCAAUUGUCAGAGGUGAAAUUCUUGGAUUUAUUGAAAGACUAACUACUGCGAAAGCAUUUGCCAAGGAUGUUUUCAUUAAUCAAGAACGAAAGUUAGGGGAUCGAAGACGAUCAGAUACCGUCGUAGUCUUAACCAUAAACUAUGCCGACUAGGGAUCGGAUGAUGUUUAAUUUUUAAUGUACUCAUUCGGCGUACC